rnacentral:lncRNA from 13 species
GUGAAGCUACAUCACGCUAGCUAACGCUAGAUUUCGAUAUAACAGAAAAGUAGCUAUAACAGUAAGCUAUAAAUAUCACACGGAGCUUAUUUGAAUGAAAAUCAUUCAAUGGCUAAUUGCUUCAAUGUCAUGUUAUGAAAUGAUACACAUACUUGCCAGCCUUUGAUAGCAAGUCCUCAAACUGCUGCGAGGAUGUUGCCUCCACUAAAGUCGCCAUGUUUUCAGACGUGUGUAAUCGCUCACCGAGUGAUUGUGUUCUAUGUGGAUUUCCAGCNNNNNNNNNNNNNNNNNNNNNNNNNNNNNNNNNNNNNNNNNNNNNNNNNNNNNNNNNNNNNNNNNNGUUCCCCACGAAGUGCACUAUAUAGUGGAGAGGGUGCCAUUUGGAAUGCUACCAUCAUGUAAACUGUUUAUUCCGUAAAGAUUACCUGUGUCACAUAAUGAGUCUCUUCUCAGGGCCACAUUAACCACAUCAUGGGGUAUUGAUCGGUUAUCGUCAUGAUCAGAGAUCGUUUGAAGACCUGAAGGAUCCUUGAGGAUGAAGAGAAUGAUCGAUUGAUUGAGUGCUUGAUCAAGCCAUUGUGUAUGUGGCUGUGAACCGUUUUAUCAGUGUGCCUUGCCUUUUCUAGCUNNNNNNNNNNAGGUGUAAUAAUCUUCCACAACCAUGGAAUAUAUGACAGCCCUCCAGAAGAAGAGACGCCACGAAGGAGACCUUCAAACCCGGAAAGAUUGCCAAGCGAAACGACUGUGCAACGGAGCGGGAGUCUGCGUCCAGGUUGAACAUGGCGGGAUGGUGACUGACGGUGCCAUGGAUGCCAGCAUGCAACAGCAGGGUGUCCCAAACAGCGGUGUCGGCAUCAACCACCCAGCUUCUAACAUGGUAGAUAUGCGUAUUCAAUUAUUUUUGGAAAAUAUAUAUAUUUUUUGCAUAUUCAUCUAUUUUGGAUAUUUUUGUUGCUACAGUCUAGGCCUAUAUUUGAAAGGAGUUGGCCUCCCACAUGCAUUGCAGGAGUGUUCUUACGGUCCAUGUUUUCCUCCUUGAAUGAUGAUGACGCUGGAGUGGUAAUAAAGGUUCAUAGGUCAAGCAGUAAGGGACACUAGGCGUAUCCAUGAAAACAUGCUUCCUCAAUAUCUUUAUCUCUAUAAGGUGUAGCCUUGGCUAUCUUUACGACAGUUUUUUUCCCUCAAUGCUGGUGAUGUCAAGGAAGCAAUAACUGUUUGGGAAAUUGCAUCUCAUCCUUACCCAAGGAAUGUGGCUUAGUGCCACAAUGUUGACAUUUAUAUUUGUAUAUCUUUUCACUCCACUGUGGAUUUGACCUUCUGUCAUAUUUCGUUUUACUUUGAAUAGUCUUGUCUUCUAUGCAGUGUUUAUCCUCAAAUGUUUUAUUGCAGAACUACAAUAUGACAAUCCGUUAAAUUAAUCGAGUGUAAUUAUUGCCGUAGUAACCCUCCAGGCUCGUGUUGUCUCUUGUACAGGUCUAUGCAGUCCAAGGCAGCCAACGUUGUAAUCGGUGCCUGGCAGGAGAGCCCGUAAGUAGUGUCCUGAUUUUUUUGCCUGAACAUAUCCCAGUAGUGACUGAUAUCAUAUGUCAGUGUCUAGGCCUAUAACCCAGCAUUUUGUACAAGCCAUCCCAGAAACACCUAAACAAAUGUAUCAUCAGUGGCAAUUGUGGAUUUAACAGCUUUAGCACAUAUAGUCAAACAUUCCUUAUAACUAAUAUGGGAUUUAUGUCUCUUACUUUGAGGACAAUUGUUGCACCUAUAAAAUCAACGUAAUAAAAGAUGGCUAUUUUAGAAAAAGGUUGGCCCUCGGGCUAAAGAACCUACCAUAUUGACCAUGGAGCCCUUUGCUCUUCAUGCUCACCUCGGGUCGAGUCGGCGUUCUGGAUUUUCUAAUGUUAAACGGGUUAAUCAGUCCCUCCAGGUUUCUGCAAUUCUUAUUUUUUUAUUCAUUUAUUUAUUGCUAAAUCAAUAAUUCCCUGCGUAUUAUGCGGGGGGCUUGUAAAUUUGACCAAUCACUGCACUCUUUCCACAUGCAACAGUCAAAUCAUCGCAAUGUUGUCACACAAACCAGGCCCAUCACCGCAGUACAAAAAUAGGGCCUGCAAUUUCAACCAAUCAGAGUAUAUUUACUGCAUAAUAUGUUUAAAUGAAGCCACACAUCAACAAAUCUUAUCUUCCCCCCCCCAUCGUCAGCGCAGUUUCAUGACAAAUUGGACUAAAUCAUAGCCAUGCAAAAUGUCAGGACUGCCGCAGCAAAAUCAAGCCGUUUGCUCUGCAAAAAUCCCAUCAAAAUGCUGGAGGGACUGAUUAAUGAACAUGACAUGGGAUCAGUCCCAAAUGGCACCCUAUUCCCUAUGUAGUGCACUACCCUAUUUCCUAUGUAGUGCACUACCCUAUUCCCUAUGUAGUGCACUACCCUAUUCCCUAUAUAGUGCACUACCCUGUUCCCCACGAAGUGCACUAUAUAGUGGAGAGGGUGCCAUUUGGAAUGCUACCAUCAUGUAAACUGUUUAUUCCGUAAAGAUUACCUGUGUCACAUAAUGAGUCUCUUCUCAGGGCCACAUUAACCACAUCAUGGGGUAUUGAUCGGUUAUCGUCAUGAUCAGAGAUCGUUUGAAGACCUGAAGGAUCCUUGAGGAUGAAGAGAAUGAUCGAUUGAUUGAGUGCUUGAUCAAGCCAUUGUGUAUGUGGCUGUGAACCGUUUUAUCAGUGUGCCUUGCCUUUUCUAGCUGUUAUUAACCACAAACACUGUACUGCUUCAUGUACAGCCUCGCAUGUUUCCACUACCUAACACUGGUAUGGGGGAAAUGGCUACUAACCAGACAGUAGACAUGAUGAUUUCAUACCGUCUCACUAACAUUCUGUUUGAAUGGAAAGAUAACCACUACAGUGUAGUCUACACACAACCAUAAGGAAGGAGCCAUCAAGCCACAAUUAAUACUGUAACUUUACACUGUAAUGUGGAUACUCCUUUAAAGUCAAUGGAUGUGUUUUUAAAAAAUAAAAAUAAAUACUUAUUGUCCCAGUAUCAAGACUGCUUUCUAAAGCUGCCAGAAAAUAUACAUGUAAAUAGUAAUAUUGAUAAGUAAAAACUUUUUAAAGUUAUAAUUGUUAACCUUUUUUUAAAUGGAUAAUCCUGUCUGCAAAUAUAUUUUUGUGAAAUAAAUAUUUUAUAUAUUUUUCUAAAAUGUAAUUGGCUGAAUAUAAAAUAAGAAGUUUGGUAACUAAUAUUUGUGCUAAUCGUUUAAUUUUGGAUAGUGUCCUGAAAUGUGUUAAUCUCAUGAACGUUUUCAGCCGGUUUUCAAUGGUUUGAUCUACACUUGAAAUGUUGAGCCGUUUUGACAAUGAUUUGUCUGUUUCCCACUAGAUUUGGUUUUGUGUCGUCUUAGAAUGAUUUGUCUGUUUCCCACUAGAUUUGGUUUUGUGUCGUCUUAGAAUGAUUUGUCUGUUUCCCACUAGAUUUGGUUUUGUGUCGUCUUAGAAUGAUUUGUCUGUUUCCCACUAGAUUUGGUUUUGUGUCGUCUUAGAAUGAUUUGUCUGUUUCCCACUAGAUUUGGUUUUGUGUCGUCUUAGAAUGAUUUGUCUGUUUCCCACUAGAUUUGGUUUUGUGUCGUCUUAGAAUGAUUUGUCUGUUUCCCACUAGAUUUGGUUUUGUGUCG